GUUGACCUCGGAUCAGGUAGGAAUACCCGCUGAACUUAAGCAUAUCAAUAAGCGGAGGAAAAGAAACCAACAGGGAUUGCCCCAGUAACGGCGAGUGAAGCGGCAACAGCUCAAAUUUGAAAUCUGGCCCCCAGGGUCCGAGUUGUAAUUUGUAGAGGAUGCUUUUGGUGAGGUGCCGCCCGAGUUCCCUGGAACGGGACGCCGCAGAGGGUGAGAGCCCCGUCUGGCUGGCCACCGAGCCUCUGUAAAGCUCCUUCGACGAGUCGAGUAGUUUGGGAAUGCUGCUCAAAAUGGGAGGUAUAUGUCUUCUAAAGCUAAAUAUUGGCCAGAGACCGAUAGCGCACAAGUAGAGUGAUCGAAAGAUGAAAAGCACCUUGAAAAGAGGGUUAAACAGUACGUGAAAUUGUUGAAAGGGAAGCGCUUGUGACCAGACUUGGGCGCGGCGGAUCAUCCGGGGUUCUCCCCGGUGCACUUCGCCGCGUCCAGGCCAGCAUCAGUUCGGCGCGGGGGAAAAAGGCUUCGGGAACGUGGCUCCCCCGGGAGUGUUAUAGCCCGUUGCACAAUACCCUGCGCUGGACUGAGGACCGCGCAUCUGCAAGGAUGCUGGCGUAAUGGUCACCAGCGAC
rnacentral:rRNA from 1 species